rnacentral:rRNA from 1 species
UACGUAGGUGACAAGCGUUGUCCGGAUUUACUGGGCGUAAAGAGCGCGCAGGCGGUCGUUCAAGUCGAGUGUGAAAGCCCCCGGCUCAACUGGGGAGGGUCACUCGAUACUGAUCGACUCGAAGGCAGGAGAGGGUAGUGGAAUUCCCGGUGUAGUGGUGAAAUGCGUAGAUAUCGUGGGGAACACCAGUGGCGAAGGCGACUACCUGGCCUGUUCUUGACGCUGAGGCGCGAAAGCUAGGGGAGCAAACGGG